rnacentral:lncRNA from 1 species
UUGAGCUGAGCUUUCGCUCGCUGUCCACCACUGCUGUUUUGCCACCAUGGCAGACCCACCACUGACCUCCAUCCCUCCGCAUCCAGCAGGGUGUCCGCUGUGCUCCUGAUCCAGUGAGGCGCCCGUUGCCACUCCCGAUUGGGCUAAGGGCUUGCCAAUGUUCCUGCAUGGCUAAGUGCCUGGGUUCGUCCUAAUCGAGCUGAACACUAGUCACUGGGUUCCAUGGUUCUCUUCCAUGACCCACAACUUCUAAUAGAGCUAUAACAAGCACUGCAUGGCCCAAGAUUCCAUUCCUUGGAAUCCGUGAGGCCAAGAACCCCAGGUCAGAGAACACGAGGCUUGCCACCAUCUUGGAAGUGGCCCACCGCCAUUUUGGAAGUGGCCAACCACCAUCUUGGGAGCUCUGGGAGCAAGGACCCCUGGUAACAUUUUGGCGACCACGAAGGGACAUCCCAAGUGAUAAGCUGAGACCAUCCUUGAAAUAGACUCACUUUGGUGUAAUCAAAGUCCACCUAUAUAUAUGAUUUUCAGCAGCCCCCUCAAGCAAUGGCGUGGCUCUCAUGAUGACCUUAGUGUUCUCAUAAUUAGAGAUACUGAAGACCUUACCUUCUCUGCCAUGUGAGGAUACAGGAUGAAGGUGUCACCUGCAAGCCAGGAAGAAAGUCCUCAUGAAGACCUGACCAUAUGGCAUCCUGAUGUUGGGCUUCUGGCCUCCAAAAUCAUGAUAAAUAAAUUUCUG